rnacentral:rRNA from 1 species
AUUGAACGCUGGCGGCAUGCCUUACACAUGCAAGUCGAACGGCAGCGGGGACUUCGGUCCGCCGGCGAGUGGCGAACGGGUGAGUAAUGUAUCGGAACGUACCAUUGAGUGGGGGAUAACAUAGCGAAAGUUACGCUAAUACCGCAUAUUCUCUCCGGAGGAAAGCAGGGGACCGCAAGGCCUUGCGCUCUUUGAGCGGCCGAUAUCAGAUUAGCUAGUUGGUGAGGUAAAGGCUCACCAAGGCGACGAUCUGUAGCGGGUCUGAGAGGAUGAUCCGCCACACUGGAACUGAGACACGGUCCAGACUCCUACGGGAGGCAGCAGUGGGGAAUUUUGGACAAUGGGGGCAACCCUGAUCCAGCCAUGCCGCGUGAGUGAAGAAGGCCUUCGGGUUGUAAAGCUCUUUCGGCCGGGAAAAAAUCGCAUGGGCUAAUACCCUGUGUGGAUGAUGGUACCGGAAUAAGAAGCACCGGCUAACUACGUGCCAGCCGCCGCCGUAACAC